GACGAACGCUGGCGGCGUGCUUAAUACAUGCAAGUCGAACGGACAGGCCCUGCUUUUGUGGGGUGCUCGAGUGGCGAACGGGUGAGUAACACGUGAGUAACCUGCCCUUGACUUUGGGUUAACUUCAGGAAACUGGGGCUAAUACCGGAUAGGAGCUCCUGCUGCAUGGUGGGGGUUGGAAAGUUUCGGCGGUUGGGGAUGGACUCGCGGCUUAUCAGCUUGUCGGUGAGGUAGUGGCUUACCAAGGCUUUGACGGGUAGCCGGCCUGAGAGGGUGACCGGCAACAUUGGGACUGAGAUAAGGCCCAGACUACUACGGGAGGCAGCAGUGGGGAAUGUUGCACAAUGGGCGGAAGCCAGAUGCAGCAACGCCGCGUGCGGGAUGACGGCCUUCGGGUUGUAAACCGCUUUCGCCUGUGACGAAGCGUGAGUGACGGUAAUGGGUAAAGAAGCACCGGCUAACUACGUG
rnacentral:rRNA from 1 species